rnacentral:lncRNA from 1 species
CCGAAACGUCUCGAAAGUUCUCGAGGCAUAAAGGGCAAAUAACUCUAAUAACACACGUGGGGGGGACUGACUCGGCAAACUUAGAUUCAAAUAAUAACCUGUCAAAGUGUGUUUCCAGUAUGACCUAGAAUGCUUGCCAACCUGCUGCGACUUCUGUUAGUGUUGUGUGUAUGGCAUGUCAUUGAAGCUCAACAUGAUGAGAGUGCUUUGUAUAGCCACAAUGGUUUAAACUGUUACAAAUGUGAGCGCGGUGAAUUUGUGAAACAUCACUGUACAGAGGAUUUGUCUUCAGCUGACUGUUCCCCCUGCCCUAAUGGAAUGUUCCAGUUGGCACGAAAUCAGGCCACUUCCUGUGCAGUGUGUAAGCCUUCAUGUUUGGUAGAAAAUGCAUAGCCAUAUCAACCGUGUAACGCAACAAGUAAAUUGCUGUGUCGCUGUGACAAGGGUUACUGGGGAAAUGCAGAAGAAGGAAUUAGCAAACACUGUAAAUUACACCAAGUUUGCAAAGACGGUUCCGUUAUUAGCAAAAACGGGACACAUGCCACCGAUGUGGAGUGUGAAGAGUGUCAGCCUGGAACUUACUAUGUGGCUCAAAAUGGUCGUCUGCCGUAUUGUGAGAACUGCUUCGAGUGUUCUUCAGGGAUGGUGCAGGUCUCGCCAUGUAGCGUUCUAAACAACAUGGUUUGCGAGCCACAAGAACAUCCAGGGAAGUGAGAUCAAAGGAUUCUGGAGACGUAGAACCGCCUGGAGGUGAAGGCAGUGGACCUAGACCCACCGAACCCUCAUCCGAAACAGCACCAUUAGCUGCACAAGAACAAUUUGAAGAGAGUGAUAACAUAAUGAAGAAUGGCAAGAAAAUGCUGUGACAAUCUGUGAACAGACUGAAAUAGAUGUGACGCUUAAUGGAAGAUUUACCGUGAAAGACAUGAUUGACUUAGGAAAUGGACCCAGCAGUGUCCACAACAUGUCACCAUCACGGCAAUAUCAAAAGCUCUGAUUUGUGCUGGUAAACCCGAUAUCAAGCUUUUGAUUCAACAAAAAUACUCAGAACUGCGGAGGCAGUAACUGUAAACUUUAACUUACAUUCAUGGAAGAGAGAUUACUAUUUGUUUAAUAUGCUGAGAUCUGGUUCAGUGGUAGAGAUGGGCUUUUGAGACUUUUCAGUAAGGGGAAAGAGGUUAAAUCUGCUAAAAAAAAAUAUAUUAAAAAUUAAAAAAAAUAAAAUAUGUAAGUAUGAAAUAUUGUAAGAUUUGCCCAAACUUGAAAAAUGUCUUACAACUAGACAGGCACAUGCUGGACAGAUCUCACUCUGUAUGGCGGAAGAAAUACUACAUGAGAUGUGCUGGGUUGUUCCUAGCUAAACCCAUGAUGGUUUCUUCCCAUUCCAACCAGUGCUACACAACUGCUAUACCGAAAUCUGUGGGUUAAUGCCUUGUGUGUGGAAAAGUGCCUAUAAACUGAGUAGUGUAUGUGGUAGGAGCAGUUUGUCUAACACUCUAACACUAAGUUAGGCCUCGGUGGCGUAGUGCAUUUGUCAUCGGACUCGAGGCUGGUAGGGUGCGAGGUAUGUGUGAUAGCCGACCUGAGGCAGUGAGGGAUUUUCCAUUCCAUUACUGUCUCCAGCUUAACGACCGGCCACAUUCUGAGUAUUUGACUCCAUAUAAGGGAGGAUUACCCAGCAGGCACUACACAUUCCGAGUAUAUGACUCCAUAUAAGGGAGGAUUACCCAGCAGGCACUGCACAUUCCGAGUAUAUGACUCAUUACCCAGCAGGCACUGCACAUUCUGAGUAUAUGACUCCUUACCCAGCAGGCACUGUACAUUCUGAGUAUAUGACUCAUUACCCAACAGGCACUGCACAUUCUGAGUAUAUGACUCCUUACCCAGCAGGCACUGCACAUUCCGAGUAUAUGACUUAUUACCCAGCAGGCACUGCACAUUCCGAGUAUAUGACUCCAUAUACGGGAGGAUUACCCAGCAGGCACUGCACAUUCCGAGUAUAUGACUCAUUACCCAGCAGGCACUGCACAUUCCGAGUAUAUGACUUUACCCAGCAGGCACUGCACAUUCCGAGUAUAUGACUCAUUACCCAGCAGGCACUGCACAUUCCGAGUAUAUGACUCCAUAUAAGGGAGGAUUACCCAGCAGGCACUGCACAUUCCGAGAUGACUCGUUACCCAGCAGGCACUGCACAGUCCGAGUAUAUGACUCGUUACCCAGCAGGCACUGCACAUUCCGAGUAUAUGACUCAUUACCCAGCAGGCACUGCACAUUCUGAGUAUAUGACUCCAUAUAAGGGAGGAUUACCCAGAAGGCACUGCACAUUCCGAGUAUAUGAAUCCAUAUAAGGGAGGAUUACCCAGCAGGCACUGCACAUUCCGAGUAUAUGACUCGUUACCCAGCAGGCACUGCACAUUCUGAGUAUAUGACUCCUUACCCAGCAGGCACUCCACAUUUCGAGUAUAUGACUCCAUAUAAGAGAGGAUUACUUGUGACAAUUAAAAAUCAUUUCACUCCGAACAUAAACAUGAUACAAAAUGGAAGCUUAAUUGUUUAAUAUCCUAGAAGUAUUCUUUGAAUGAACAGCUGUAGAAAUAUGAACUUGUUCUCCUUCUUGAGUUUGUGAAAACCAUAAAAGAUUAAUAGCCUCUGACGUUUGUAUUUAGGUUAAUGAUUUAAAUUAACAUAUUGGUUGUGAAUGUAUAGGCACAAGUAUGAAUGAAACAUUCUUAGUUAGAUAAAAUUACAUUUUAAAGACACUUUCUUGUUCAAAACGUCAGUGUUUGUGCAUAAAAGAUGUUUCUUAAUGGUAGUACCAUGUAGUAGCUCAAACGUCAUUUUACUCCCUGAUAUCUAUAUUUUUUUCUAAGUACGAAAUUAUUUGGAGGUAAAAAAAAGGUCAGUUCGAGCUUUUGUACCAGAAAGACUCAUAUUGUAGACAAACAUUAAUAUAUUUUCUAAGUAAAAAUGUAUUUAAAUGUGUAAUUUGGUGAACAAAAAUGCAGUUCCAUAUAGAUGCUGUAUCGAGUUUCCAUCCAUGUUUUUUGUGAUUAUGGAAACUCAUUCCCUCUAACUAUAUUAUGCAAAGUGAACAAGCCAUUUUCUGCCUGACAGGAUAUGACUUCAUCAUGUUAUAUUCUGCUAAUGCAAGUCAUGAGACUGCAGGGUAAAUACACAUAUAGUCGUAUUUUUAAAGGUGAUUUUAUCAGUGCUUUUUAUAUUACAUGGUGGUGUUUAUUAAUACUUUUAUAUUAAUGUUAUUGUAUAUUGGUUUUUUUAAAUUUUACAAAAUUUUAGUUAAACUUUACAUGUAAAUGUUUUUGCUCAUGAUGACUUGAAGUUUAACUUUGCUUUUCCUUUUUGAUAUUCAUAAAGUGAAUAUUGCCACUAUUUUGACAUAUGUUAAAUUUGAUUACGUGUAGAGGAAUGUCUGAGUAACUCUCCAUUUCUAAAAAUUAAUCGAGAUGAGACCCACUAUGGCCGAGUCUAAUUAUUUUUGAUAAAUGGAGACUUGAGAGGAUACUGUAUUCCUCUACUUACAAUACACCAAUGUAUAAUGUAACAUUUUAUAUUCAGCAUCAUUUGUAGUAUUAUCCCUUAUUAUAUACUGUGAUAUAUUUAUGUACAUUAUGUAUGCAAUUUUAUGUGUGCUGUUAGUGCUAACAUUACAUGUAGUUGAAUGUA